rnacentral:lncRNA from 1 species
CGAAUAUACUAGCCCAACCACUUUUGAGAUCCUUUAUAGUAAAAUUCUUUAAACCCAAACUCUUAUCCCAGGCGGACACCUCUCAACAAAACCUGCAUACAUAACCCUACUCAAGUUGGGUUGAGGGCUGGUGGAGCUGACCUGAGGAUUUUGCCAGGCUAAGAGUAACUGAAUACAAGAUGAGGACACUUAACUUUGUUUUGCUCACUAGACAUAACCACAGAACUAUAGACAAGUGAAAGUUAUGCAAAGGGUUUGUGAUCCAAGUCCUAAAAAGGCCUUUUUUAGAAAAAAGAAAUGUUGAACAUGCUUGCACAAUUUUUUUCAUUAUUGUGGUAAAAUACACAACGCAUUAAGAUAUUGUAACCAGUCCAAGUAUGUAUUUUCGCGGUGUUAGGUACAUGUACAAUGUUGGGCAUUAGCACAGGUUUUGAUGCCAAUUCAACUCAGAAAGUCAUAUUUAAAUAAACCUAGGAAAUCUUUCAAAGCUUAUUUUCAGAGACCAGGCUAGGGAAUAGUUGCUAUGACCCAUCUACACUCUCAGGUCAGUGUCUACUAAACGCCUUCUUUGCCCAAGUUACCCAGCUAGGAGCUCAAGGGACAAGGAAGUCCCAUGGUGCUUCAGGGGUGCCUCAGGAGUUCCACCACUUUGCAAAGGUUAUGACUUCAGACUGAAUUUUCAUCCAUAAUGAAGAGGGAGUUAAGUGGACAGAAUUCCCCGCGGCUCAAUUUCAUAUGCAUGGAGAUGAAUUACUAAUAUAGCUUCUUUUUUCCUCCCUAGCUUUUGGUGCAUUCUCCCCAUAGUAUUAACCUGUAGUACUCAAAACUCUUACAAUGUUAAAAUGGGUGUUCAUAAUAUUCCUAAUCAUGGGAGGAUAUAUAGGGCGCUGUGACUCAGGCCUGUAAUCCCAGCACUUUGGGAUGCCAAGACGGGUGGACCAUUUGAGGUCAGGAGUCCAAGGCCAGCCUUCCCAACAUGGUGAAACCCCGUCACUACUAAAAAUAAAAAUAAUAAAAAAAAUUAGUUGGGUGUGGUGGCACGCACCUGAAAUCCCAGCUAUUGGGGAGGCUGAGGCAGGAGAAUCGCUUGAACCCUAGAGGCAGAGGUUGCAGUGAGCUGAGAUCAUGCCACUGCACCCCAGCCUGGGGAAGAGAGUAAGACUCCACCUCAAAAAAAAAAAAAAAAA